UUGGCCUACGGGAGGCAGCAGUGGGGGAUAUUGCACAAUGGGGGAAACCCUGAUGCAGCGACGCCGCGUGAGUGAAGAAGUAUUUCGGUAUGUAAAGCUCUAUCAGCAGGGAAGAAAAUGACGGUACCUGAGUAAGAAGCCCCGGCUAACUACGUGCCAGCAGCCGCGGUAAUACGUAGGGGGCAAGCGUUAUCCGGAUUUACUGGGUGUAAAGGGAGCGUAGACGGCGAUGCAAGCCAGAUGUGAAAGCCCGCGGCUCAACUGCGGUAGUGCAUUUGGAACUGUAUGGCUGGAGGGCAGGAGAG
rnacentral:rRNA from 1 species